AUGCAUGAACAGAAUAUCCAAAAAAGUGAGUUUGAAACUGAUAGCACCGACUUCUCUGCAAACUCUAGCCAUUUCCCUGAUAAAUACCAAACUUUCCAGGAACAGAAACUGACACUGACCCUCUGGAAUAUCAUGCUAAAUCAUCGAGGAAGCCCACAGGACUGUCAGCGACAUAAGACCUGCAGCAGACAUAGUCUGAACCAGGAAAUAAGCAUGAUUCUGGUUUUCUCCACAUGGUGCAAAAGAUUUUUGCUCUUCAGGGCAGAAGAGUUUUGCUCUUCACAAAAGAAAGGGCCAGGUAGGACAGUGUCUCUUUGUUACAUUAACAUCAGUGCCCAGUUCCAUUCCUACAUCAGCAAAAAGGGCAAUCUCUCGACUCUCCACGUACCUGAUCUUUCUCAGGAAAACUCAGUGAGGUCUAAGAAAAGCAACAGCCUUCAUGUGUGUUCAAAUUCUUCUGGAGUGCUUUGCAUGCAUGGGAGACCACACAUGGCCUCUAGCAAUUUGCUCACCGUUUCUUCUUUCCUGCCUGUCUGGAGGCUUCGUCUUCUUCCUGCGCCAGCGCUUUGCAGGGCUUAUUUAAGGUGCUGACUUGCCUUAGGUUCCACACUGGCUGAUUUUCAUAUGAACUAAGUUCUCUGCUAGAUUCAGAAAAAGUUAUUAGCUUGUAGCUCACCCAUCUGUUUCUAGUUGUCAGGGUAAGGGUGAUGUACUUCCCAGCUUUUUACAUGCUGGGGAGGCAGAAGAUGGAAUGGCUUGCCUUCAGCAUUUCUUAUCAUGCAGAUCUGCUAGCACAUCAUCUCUCUGCUUCUGCUCAUCUGUUCACAUCUGUAUUUCACUUUCCUUUAGGAAGCAUAGAUUAACUCUAUAUUUAAAAGUUCAACAGUUCUUUCUUUUAGUACUAUGAAUUGUGCAUCUUUUUUUUUUUUGCUGUUUACUUAUUUAUUUUUUAAUUGAAAGGUAGAGUUACAGAGGAAGAAAGGGAGAGAGAGAGGGAGAGAGAGAAAGAGAUCUUCCAUCUGUUAGUUUACUCCCCAAAUGGCCACAAUGCCAAGGGUUGGGCCAGGCUGAAGCCAGGAGCUUCAUCCAUGUAAACCACCUGAUUGUAGGGGCACAUAGGCUUGGACCAUCUUCGCUGCUUCCUCAGGGGCAGUAGAAAGGAGCUGGAUCAGAAGUCAAGCAGCCAGGACUUGCACUGGCACCCAUAUGGGAUGUUGGUGUUGCUGGCAUUGUGCCAGUACAUUUUGCCACAAUGCCAGUCCCAAGUUAUGAAUCUUCUGAUGAGAAGUCUCAAGUUAUUUUUUUAAUUGUACCUUUGCUGGCAUUGUGUAUUUAAUACUGGUAUUUUAAAGAUUUUUAAUUAUGAUUUUUAUGAUUGUCUUUUAUCAAUUCAACUAUGAUGUGAUUUUGUGUUUUUUUUUUUUUUACACUGGGUUCAUUAUUUUUGGGUUAAUGUUUCUUUAUACACACACACACACACACACAUAGAGUUCCCUUCCACCCUAGAACUAUAGUAACAUUUAUUUUUGUAGAUGGUAAUGUUCCCUGGGAGUCUGUUAAUAUUUUCAGUUCUUUUUAUCUCCCCCUUCCC
rnacentral:lncRNA from 1 species